ensembl:lncRNA
CAGCUUAACGCCCCGCGCCGCGAGUGGGAGGGAUGCUACCUACCUUGCGCCCCCCGGGAACAGAAAGGUCGCAGGAAGGACACCAGCUUGCAGUGCCCCAGAGUGGGCUCUUCUCCCCUCAGACUCCUGGUCACUGGGGAAUGGCGCGGGGCCAGAGUGCGCCUCCCGAUCAUCCACCCUCUGUGAGACACUGGGAGUUGCGCUGCCCCGGGCGGGGAACACAAGACAGGCACUCCACCCAGCGUGACCCCGGCGACUGCUUGCUCACUGUAGAUCCUGGUAUAGGCUCCUGCGGGAAGGGGGCGCUAGACGACACUUCACUCCAUCUCCAACCCUUCCCCCCACUCCCCACUUCUCCCAUUUUGGGCCCCGGGGCAGUGGGGCACAGAAAGGAUACCACACCCAUCAUGACUCCAGCAUCCACUGCUCCUUACAGACCUACAGGGUGAGUCUUAUGGGGCCUGCAGAACUGAGAUCCUAGGGGGCUCCCCUUCCUCCUGCAGCAGUAGGCCCUUAGAUGGCCUGGGGGCCACAGACAGCCAGUGUUGAAGAAAGGAGAGGCUCAGACACCGCCUGAGACUGGAAGCAGGCAGCCUGGUUCUCAGCGUGAAAUGGAAUCAACAGCCUCACUGCCCAGUUUCCCAUCCCAAGGGGCGAAUUCCUGCUGCAAACCCUCUAAGCACCCUGUGAAUGUUAGUUUGUAAAACACUUCAUAGAGUUAACAAAAGAAAUGUUUCCC